rnacentral:rRNA from 1 species
GACGAACGCUGGCGGCGUGCUUAACACAUGCAAGUCGAACGGAAAGGCCCUGCUUGCAGGGUACUCGAGUGGCGAACGGGUGAGUAACACGUGGGUGAUCUGCCCUGCACUUCGGGAUAAGCCUGGGAAACUGGGUCUAAUACCGGAUAUGACCUUCCAUGUAGUGUGGGGGGUGGAAAGAUUUAUCGGUGUGGGAUGAGCCCGCGGCCUACCAGCUUGUUGGUGGGGUAAUGGCCUACCAAGGCGUCGACGGGUAGCCGGCCUGAGAGGGUGGACGGCCACAUUGGGACUGAGAUACGGCCCAGACUCCUACGGGAGGCAGCAGUGGGGAAUAUUGCACAAUGGGCGGAAGCCUUAUGCAGCGACGCCGCGUGGGGGAUGACGGCCUUCGGGUUGUAAACCUCUUUCGACAGGGACGAAGCUUCGGUGACGGUACCUGUAGAAGAAGCACCGGCUAACUACGUG